AGGUAACGUUAAGUGUGCAGGUUCUUUCAACUUUGAAACAGCAGAGAUUAAAAUCUGUGAUAAUGUUUUGUCUUCGCAAGAUCACGUAGAUAGAACUUUGGCCCACGAACUUAUUCACGCCUUCGAUCAUUGCCGGGCUUACGUGGAAGAAAAAAAUGCUCUGCACCAAGCUUGUACUGAGAUUCGAGCGCAUAACCUCAGCAACGAGUGCCGCUUUUUUAUUGAAUUUUUACGGACUGGCAAACUUAAAUGGAAAAAUGGCCAAAAAGAAUGUGUGCGGAGGAGGGCCCUACUAUCUUUAUACGGAAGCCCACACUUUUCUAGAGAA